rnacentral:lncRNA from 1 species
CAAAGCCUUCUCCCUCGGCUGCCAGUCCACGGAAGCAAAGAAAGAAGAGCGUGAGGAGGUGGGGGAGGGGAAGGAGAAUCGAAGGAAUCUCCGGGAAAGGGGUAUGGGUCUGGGACAGGAGGCCAGAAACUGCCUGGGAACUCUUCUUUGUAUUGAUUCGACUGGGAAAUAUUGGGAGAAGAAAUUGGCUCCUCUAGUCUCAAAGUACAAACGGUGAGUAAAUCACCCUACUGGCUGAAGCAUCCUCCCUCUUCUCAGCGAGAAGCCGGAUUAAGGACCAGGUGGUUCCUCCUACUUGAGAGCAAGUCUGGGCCAGCUGGGAACCGACCAGAAACCACAAGCAGAGGAGACAGAGCUAACGGCAGGGAUGGGAGAGAAAUUCAAACCUCUUCUCUGUAGCGAGAGGAAUGUAAAAAGGGACCUAUUUGGGUAACCACAAAUAGCAACCGCACCAUCUUUUCAGCCACAUU